rnacentral:lncRNA from 1 species
GGCCUACCUCAUGCUGUCUCCUUACAAACACCAAUUCAGUGUAGGACAAGGAGACACUGGAUUAGGAGCAAGGCACCUCAAACAGACACUUCCUUCUCUCUCUGGGCACCGUCAAAACCUCCAGAUAACCUGGCAACUGCAAAUGAAUUUCAAGCAUUUGACAAAGUGGGGUUGAACAUCACUUCACUCUGGUUUGCCGCGGAAGCCUUAAUAUUAAGGUAUUAUAAACUUUGGGGGCCUCUUCCAGUUUUUCCUACACGCAGACGAAAAAAUGUCACAGCUCUAGGGAUGCUUAAGUCUCACCCAGUGACCUGCAAGUUCUUCAACAGACGGGAAAUUGAGAACCAGGAUUAUAGCACUCAGACCCCUAUGGACUGAAAAAGUGGCUAGUUUGACUUCCUUCUGAAUUCUUUUCACACAAUAGUAAAUGACAAAUAAAA